rnacentral:rRNA from 1 species
AUUGAACGCUGGCGGCAUGCCUUACACAUGCAAGUCGAACGGCAGCACGGGAGCAAUCCUGGUGGCGAGUGGCGAACGGGUGAGUAAUAUAUCGGAACGUGCCCAGUCGUGGGGAUAACGUAGCGAAAGCUACGCUAAUACCGCAUACGAUCUAUGGAUGAAAGCGGGGGAUCGCAAGACCUCGCGCGAUUGGAGCGGCCGAUAUCAGAUUAGGUAGUUGGUGAGGUAAAGGCUCACCAAGCCGACGAUCUGUAGCUGGUCUGAGAGGACGACCAGCCACACUGGGACUGAGACACGGCCCAGACUCCUACGGGAGGCAGCAGUGGGGAAUUUUGGGACAAUGGGCGCAAGCCUGAUCCAGCAAUGCCGCGUGCAGGAUGAAGGCCUUCGGUUGUAAACUGCUUUUGUACGGUAACGAAACGGUGAGGCUCUAAUACAGUUUGCUAAUGACGGUACCGUAAGAAUAAGANACCGGCUAACUACGUACG